rnacentral:rRNA from 1 species
UACAGAGGGUGCGAGCGUUGUUCGGAAUCAUUGGGCGUAAAGGGCUCGUAGGCGGCCAACUAAGUCGGAUGUGAAAUCCCCAGGCUUAACCUGGGAACUGCAUCCGAUACUGGUCGGCUUGAAUCCGGGAGAGGGAUGCAGAAUUCCAGGUGUAGCGGUGAAAUGCGUAGAUAUCUGGAGGAAUACCGGUGGCGAAGGCGGCAUCCUGGACCGGCAUUGACGCUGAACAGCGAAAGCUAGGGGAGCAAACGGG